rnacentral:tRNA from 1 species
AAUUAUAUAGCUUAAUUAUUAAAGCAAUUUAUUGAAGAUAAAUUUAUCUAUCAUUU